rnacentral:lncRNA from 1 species
GAAGAAUACAAACAGGAGGUCUGGACCUUCCUUCAGCUUGCAAUAGUCAUGGAAACAUCAGGACGAAAUCAGACCCUUGAAACCCAAACCACAUCUGGUGUAUUUUCUUCCAUGACAGUCACAUAGGGACAGAGGAGAAGCACCUGCCCCUCCCUUCUCUUUUCCUGUGGUGGCUGAAGGGAGGGGGUGGUUUGGCCAAGGAGGUGCAGCUUGGCUGUCAUCAUUGGCGCCCUUCCCAGCACUCCCUGUUCCAGACACUGCCCUUUAUUUGAAGAAGUGGUAAGGAAAUGGCUCCUAAUGUGACAGAGUGAAGCCUCAGAAGGUCCUGGAGUAUGAACAGAACAGUUGCUUUAAAAUAAGGAGCAAUAAACAGUAGAUUCAGUUGGUCCUGAUGAGUUCCAGGGACCAGCAGCCAGUGAGGAUCAGCAACAGAAUCCAGCAAUUGGCAGUCAAUUGACAGUGUCCAGCAUUGAAUGGCAGUGGCCAGCAGAGGCAGAAACCAGCAGCUGGGAAGGUUGGCUGACAGCAUCCUGUAUUAACUGAUGUUGAUUGGAGGCAUCAGCACUGCUAGCAGAGCUGCACUAUGAUAGUUUGUAAUUUCUAUCUGAGUUGAGCAAAAGAACCAUUAACUGAUUGGCAAUAACAUAAUUACUGGUCCCAUUUUCACUCCCUCCAUGAGUAUAUGAG